rnacentral:rRNA from 1 species
AGAGUUUGAUCAUGGCUCAGAACGAACGCUGGCGGUGUGCUUAAUACAUGCAAGUCGAACGAUAAGGCCCUUCGGGGUACAUAAGUGGCGGACGGGUGAGUAAUGCGUAGGUAAUCUGCCUCAAGGAGGGGGACAACGUUGGGAAACUGACGCUAAUACCCCAUAUGUGCAAGAUUGAAAUGUUUUGCAUGAAAGUUUCGGCGCCUUGAGAUGAGCCUGCGUCUGAUUAGCUUGUUGGUGGGGUAAAGGCCUACCAAGGCGAUGAUCAGUAGCUGGUCUGAGAGGAUGAUCAGCCACAAUGGGACUGAGACACGGCCCAUACUCCUACGGGAGGCAGCAGUAGGGAAUUUUGCGCAAUGGGCGAAAGCCUGACGCAGCAACACCGCGUGAGCGAUGAAGCCCUUUGGGGUGUAAAGCUCUGUCAGUGGGGAAGAAUAAAUGACUGUACCCACAAAGGAAGCAUCGGCUAACUACGUGCCAGCAGCCGCGGUAAGACGUAGGAUGCAAGCGUUGUCCGGAAUUAUUGGGCGUAAAGAGUUCGUAGGCGGCAUGUCAAGUCUGGUGUUAAAGACCGUGGCUCAACCACGGAAUGGCACUGGAUACUGGCAAGCUAGAGUACAAAAGAGGCAAGGGGAAUUCCCAGUGUAGCGGUGAAAUGCGUAGAUAUUGGGAGGAACACCAGUGGCGUAAGCGCCUUGCUGGGCUGUUACUGACGCUGAGGAACGAAAGCCAGGGGAGCAAAUGGGAUUAGAUACCCCAGUAGUCCUGGCUGUAAACGAUGGAUACUAGGUGUUGCGGGUAUCGACCCCUGCAGUGCCGCAGCUAACGCGUUAAGUAUCCCGCCUGGGGAGUACGCACGCAAGUGUGAAACUCAAAUGAAUUGACGG